GUGAAAUGACUUGAGAGGU
rnacentral:snRNA from 1 species